UCUACGGGUGGCAGCAGUGAGGAAUAUUGGUCAAUGGGCGAGAGCCUGAACCAGCCAAGUCGCGUGAAGGAUGACGGCCCUACGGGUUGUAAACUUCUUUUGUCAGGGAGCAAUUGAGUCCACGUGUGGUCUUAGCGAGAGUACCUGAAGAAAAAGCAUCGGCUAAGUCCGUGCCAGCAGCCGAGGUAAUACGGAGGAUGCGACGGUUAUCCGGAUUUAUUGGGUUUAAAGGGUGCGUAGGCGGAAGAUGAAGUCAGCGGUAAAAUUUCGAGGCUCAACCCCGGCGAGCCGUUGAAACUGGCUGUCUUGAGAUGGCGAGAGGUAUGCGGAAUGCGCGGUGUAGCGGUGAAAUGCUGAGAGAUUGCGCAGAACUCCGAUUGCGAAGGCAGCAUACCGGCGGCGAUCUGACGCUGAGGCACGAAAGCGUGGGUAUCGAACAGGAUUAGAUACCCCAGUAGUC
rnacentral:rRNA from 1 species